CCGGGCGUUCCGUCGCCCGUAGUCUACCGGUGCAUGCGAUGCUGGCAACGGCGUGGUAUGAAGCCACCGGGACAAUGUAGCCCGGCGUAAACCGCGUCUGGGUCGUGAGACCGAGGCUCUUCUGCGAGUGUCAAUGCGGAGGGGGCG
rfam:Burkholderia calidae type strain LMG 29321 genome assembly, contig: contig000273